rnacentral:lncRNA from 1 species
CAGGUACUGUGAAUACCAUACAUGUAACUGUAGUGUACCUCUUCUCUUUAGGGUGUGACGUCACCGCUGACCCUGCAGCGGCAGCAAAGCAUCGUCCCCUGCAUCACAGACAGAGACCCUCUUCCAGACACCCCCACUGAGAAAGAGCCCUCCUCGCCUGUCUUCAGCGACAAACCCAUCAACUCCCCGCGUACCCAGUCCAGAGAGAACUCUUUCAGGAGCAGAGGCAGCGUACGCCAACGCCAAGCCCGCAGCCCUUCAGUGGUGCCGCCCCAUCGCUCCAACGACUGUCUGCGCCACGGAAAUAGCAGCGACGCUCGGGCUGUGAGGGCGGUCUGUUUGCUGAUGGGUGGAGCUGCUGCCUCGUCAGCACUGGGGUACAUCAAUUCCUGCUCGCCCGCCUCCAGCAUGGCAGCCCGGGCUCCAGAGAUCACCCACUCUACUGCUUUCUCAGAGCUCGGCGGAGGCACUUCAUACCACGCCUGCAGCCAGGCCGUCGACUCGCCUCAUUUUAACAGCUUCGACUUCGAGGGCGACUCCGACUUCGAUGCGUUUGACUGUGGAGGUUUUGCGUUCUAAAACAGCAGAAUGACGCUGUCAUGUGUCCUGUGUCAGUGCAGAUGGUAAAGGUGCUUCACUGGAAAGCGGCAAGCAGAUGUUGCGACUUAGCUGCAAAUGCUACGGUGCACUGGAUCUGUACAGGUUAUGUAGGUUGAUCAAGCACAACUAGUUACUACGGGAGAUUUCCAGGGUAUGGAACGCGUCAGCUUGAAGGAAUACUCCAGCAUUUUUGCUCUAUACUUAUCUUCUGCAUCUGUAGCAUGUGGUUGAUAUUCACUGACAGUAAUGUCUUGUUUUGUUUGCCAUUAAUCAUAUUUAUUAAUCACCAUUCUUAAUUCAGUUGUAGUGAUUGGAUCAUGAUACAGCAUGUUCACACUGGGCCUUUUCAGAUGGUGCUUCUGCAUCAAGUUAUGGGCUGCAUGUUGGCGACAAGCUGGCAAACUAUGUGUCACGAUACAGGGGUUACAAUUUAUUAUAUUGCAAUAUUGUAAGCAAGUAAAUACAGCUCUGAUAAAAAAUAAGAGACCAUUUAAAAAUGAUGAGUUUCGAUCAAGAAGACGAUGAAUGAUCACAAGCCAUCAAACCAAGCUGAACUGUUUAAAUUUUGAGUGGCAUAUAGUUAUCCAAAAGCAGUGUGUAAGACUGG